CUCGUGAUCCGCCUGCCUCGGCCUCCCAAAGUGCUGGGAUUACCGGCAUGAGCCACCAUUUCCGGCAACAGGCAGACUUUUAACACAUUCCUUACCUAAACUUUUAAAAGGGACAAAAGAUAUAUGCCUUUGGUUUGGGAGAUGACGAAACAUAUGCUUUAAUGACUAUUGGGUUGGAAUCUUCUUGAGAGAGGAUCCUUCUUAGCCUAGACUAGAGUCUUCAAAAGCCCACAGUGCUUCGUAAAGUUUCAUACGUGGAAGAGAGAAGGAUGUUCCACUGGAAAAGCAGAAUUGCAGCUGAGCUGUCCUGAAAUGCCCAGCACUCUGUGGAGACGCGGAGGAGGUUUCCUGGGACAAAGUGCUGAACCAGCUACAGCCACAAGCUGUCUCCACCAUCAGAUGUGGCUUACCUGGUUCCUGAGUCAAUUCCAUCCAGGUAGGAGGAAUCCUAUCAGAAAGUAUGUGAGUGCGUUUGCAGAGUGCAUUCCUGUGGAGCCCCCUUAUCUCUGGCUGCAUCUGCUUCUGCAGGGAGAAAGUAUCCCUGCUGUGAGAGGUCUGGGAUCUGGAGUACAGAGGAUGGUGAAGCCAAGGCCUGAAGACCUUUCCUGCAAGGUCGCAGAGGAAGAGGCAGAAGAAGGACCAGAACCCAGCUCCCCUGACUCCCUAUCCAGUGCUCUUCUCAUAGAUUACAUUGCUUCAGCAUCCACCUGGCUAUUGCUCCAUCCAGGGGUUACAGGAGUCACUGACUGUUUUGGUUGCUUCUUGGUUGGAGGAUGUUGUGCCUCACCGAUGAGAGCCGGAAGCAAAGGUACCAGUUCUUAGAGGAAGCAUAGGAAUGUGUCCCUUCCUGCUCGGGUCUCUCAACUGAACUCAACCCUUCCUUGAUUGAUUGACAAGCAUGUUAUCUCUCAUAAUCC
rnacentral:lncRNA from 1 species